rnacentral:rRNA from 1 species
UACGUAGGGUGCGAGCGUUAAUCGGAAUUACUGGGCGUAAAGCGUGCGCAGGCGGUUAUUUAAGUCAGGUGUGAAAGCCCUGGGCUUAACCUAGGAAUUGCGCUUGAGACUGGAUAGCUUGGAGUGCGGCAGAGGGAGGUGGAAUUCCACAUGUAGCAGUGAAAUGCGUAGAGAUCGUAAGGAAGACCAAUGGCGAAGGCAAGUCUCUGGACAGUUACUGACGCUGAGGCACGAAGGCCAGGGGAGCAAACGGG